UUUCCGUAGGUGAACCUGCGGAAGGAUCAUUACAGAGAACUUGCCCUUCGGGGUAGAUCUCCCACCCUAUGUUUACCUUACCAUUGUUGCUUUGGCAGGCCCGCCCUUUUGGCCACUGGCUUCGGCUGGUCAGCGCCUGUCGAGGAUUCAAAACUCUUGUUUAAUUGUCGUCUGAGUACUAUAUAAAUAGUUAAAACUUUCAACAACGGAUCUCUUGGUUCUG
rnacentral:misc_RNA from 1 species